rnacentral:rRNA from 1 species
UUAGCGAUAAAGGGCGUGAAAAGCGCCCUCGCCGAAAGCCCAAGGUUUCCUACGCAACGUUCAUCGGCGUAGGGUGAGUCGGCUCCUAAGGCGAGGCAGAAAUGCGUAGUCGAUGGGAAACAGGUCAAUAUUCCUGUACCGAUUCUAGAUGCGAUGUGGGGACGGAGAAGGUUAGGUCAGCCGGGUGUUGGACGUCCCGGUUUAAGCGUGUAGGCGUGCCCCUUAGGCAAAUCCGGGGGGCUGAGCUGAGGCGUGAUGACGAGGAACCACGGUUCCGAAGUGAUUGAUACCAAGCUUCCAGGAAAAGCCGCUAAGCUUCAGUCUAGAGUUGACCGUACCGCAAACCGACACAGGUGGGCAGGAUGAAAAUUCUAAGGCGCUUGAGAGAACUCAGGAGAAGGAACUCGGCAAAUUAACACCGUAACUUCGGGAGAAGGUGUGCCCCGGUAGCGUGUAGAGAUUUGCUCUCGAAGCGCGAUGGGGUUGCAGUGAAAUGGUGGCUGCGACUGUUUAAUAAAAACACAGCACUCUGCAAACACGAAAGUGGACGUAUAGGGUGUGACGCCUGCCCGGUGCCGGAAGGUUAAGUGAUGGGGUGCAAGCUCUUGAUCGAAGCCCCGGUAAACGGCGGCCGUAACAAUAACGGUCCUAAGGUAGCGAAAUUCCUUGUCGGGUAAGUUCCGACCUGCACGAAUGGCGUAACGAUGGCCACACUGUCUCCUCCUGGGACUCAGCGAAGUUGAAAUGUUUGUGAAGAUGCAAUCUACCCGCGGCUAGACGGAAAGACCCCAUGAACCUUUACUGUAGCUUUGCAUUGGACUUUGAACCGGUUUGUGUAGGAUAGGUGGGAGACUGUGAAGCCGGGACGCUAGUUUCGGUGGAGUCAACCUUGAAAUACCACCCUGAUUUGUUUGAGGUUCUAACCUUGGUCCGUGAAUCCGGAUCGGGGACCGUGCAUGGUAGGCAGUUUGACUGGGGCGGUCUCCUCCCAAAAGGUAACGGAGGAGUACGAAGGUACGCUUAGGGCGGUCGGACAUCGCCCACAAAGUGCAAUGGCAAAAGCGUGCUUGACUGCGAGACCCACAAGUCGAGCAGGUACGAAAGUAGGUCAUAGUGAUCCGGUGGUUCUGUAUGGAAGGGCCAUCGCUCAACGGAUAAAAGGUACUCUGGGGGUAACAGGCUAAUUCCUCCCAAGAGUUCAUAUCGACGGGGGAGUUUGGCACCUCGAUGUCGGCUCAUCACAUCCUGGGGCUGUAGUCGGUCCCAAGGGUAUGGCUGUUCGCCAUUUAAAGUGGUACGCGAGCUGGGUUUAAAACGUCGUGAGACAGUUUGGUCCCUAUCUGCCGUGGGCGCUGGAAAUUUGAAGGGGGCUGCUCCUAGUACGAGAGGACCGGAGUGGACGAACCUCUGGUGUACCGGUUAUGACGCCAGUCGUAUCGCCGGGUAGCUAAGUUCGGAAGAGAUAAACGCUGAAAGCAUCUAAGCGUGAAACUCGCCUUAAGAUAAGAUUUCCCGGAGUC